GAGGAGGAGAAAGGAGGAGGCAGUGAGAUGGAUGAAGACGAUAGUUCUCAGCAUUUCGCAGAUGUAAAUGAAGAGACCAAAGAAGUAACACUCGCCGUGAGGAAAAGGGGAAAAACCAAAGUGGCCAAAGCAAAGGAGAUCCCCCGUGCGAAGGUCAAGAAGCCAUGGAGUGAAGCAGAGAAGACGGCAGUGCAAAGACGGCUGGGAAAAUUUGUCGCAGAGCGU